rnacentral:rRNA from 1 species
CACAAGCAGCGGAGCGUGUGGUUAAUUCGAUGCUACACGAAGAACCUUACCAGGGUUUGACAUGCAAGUGGUAGGAAUCUGAAAGGGACCGACCCUUCGGGAGCUUGCACGGGUGCUGCAUGGCUGUCGUCAGCUCGUGUCGUGAGAUGUUCGGUUAAGUCCGCUAACGAGCGCAACCCUCACUGUGUGUUAUAUGUGUCACACAAUACCGCCGGUAUUAAGCCGGAGGAAGGUGCGGAUGACGUCAAGUCAGCAUGACCUUUAUAUCCAGGGCUACACACACGCUACAAUGGACAGUACAACAGGUUGCCAAGCCGCGAGGCGGAGCCAAUCCUCUAAAGCUGUCCUCAGUUCAGAUUGCAGGCUGCAACUCGCCUGCAUGAAGUUGGAGUUGCUAGUAACCGCAGGUCAGCUAUACUGCGGUGAAUACGUUCCCGGGGAUU